AAUCAAAAUUAAAGUGAGAUAAAGGCCUAUUGAACAGUGAAAACUCUGACACUGAAAGCCAAUAAAUUGUUUUGAUUUCAAUACUUCCGCAUCAGUUUUUGAAUUGACAACAUUACGUCGCAAGCUUUAAAUAUGAAAUUCGUAAUUCUAUUGGCGGUUCUGGCUACAUUUGUAGUUUGUGCACAAGCUGGCACUCAUCAAUGGGGUGAAAUAAAUUCGAGAGAUUUAAUCAUUGCAAAGGAAAAAGUUAAAAAAUCAAGUAUUAUUGGUUUUACUACCUCGACAAAGUAUAUUUUUAAACAAGAUAAAUAUGAUGCAAUGACUAUUACUGCUAUUCGUGUCACCGAUCUGAAAGCUAAGUACACAGCUGAAGUAAAUUUAUCAAGCGGAGGAAUUGGUUCAAAAGGAGUAACUCUAAAAUUCAAAUCAAAGAGAAAUGAAAAUAUUAACUGCUUAGUAGAAAUUUGGGGUAGAUAAAUCAUUAAUUUUUGGAAAUAAACUGAUUCCUAUACAUUUUGAAAUGGAUUUGGAUGUCUGAAAUAGAAAAGAUAUUUUUAUUGAUGGUGUAAACAAAAUUCAAAAUUGUAAAUGUAAAUAAAUGGUAGAAUCGAAUGGUUUUAUCUAUAUUACUGGGAUCAAUAAAAUUGAAGUUUCUAAAAAAUAUUUAUGAAUACCGAAUGCAUUGAAAUAAAAAAAGUAAAUAAGAA